GUAGACCCAGCGUACGUACAACGCUCACACCACCACGCCGUACGCUGCGUUAGCGGAAGUUUAAUGGCCCCAUUGGUGGGAUGCGUGGCCAAUAAAGGGCAAGAAUAAGGCGGAUUCCGCCUUCCUCGUGGCUGACUGGAUGCAUCCGCUGGUACUGAUUUACGAAGAGAAUGAUCAUGAAGGGCAAAUGGCAGUGAAGCAAGAAGAGCUGGCUUCAGGCUCAGAAGAGAAUGCUGUGCCUCUUCCUCAUGGUUUCAGCUGACAUCACUCUCUCAAAAGAAUCGCUGGCACAGGAAUCUUCAUCUCAAGUUCUGCUUCUUGAGAACAUAGCCUGAAACAAGCGUAUGAUUUUAAAACAAUCAUGCAAAGAGGACAAGGAUUGAAAAGAUCAAUAAUGAAGAUAAAAGCAACAACAACAAAAUGGCAGAACUAGUUCUUUUCCUACUUCUGGUAUAAUUUCUUCUUAGCCAAAAUAUGUGAUAAAAAUGACAGUUUAAUAAAACCUAACAAGAUGUCAGUUAAAAGAGAACUACAAAGAGGACUAUUUGAAAAAAAAAUUCUAUCCACUUUCUUUUUUUUUUUUUUUCGAAAUGGAGUCUUGCUCUGUCACCCGGCCUGGGCAACAGAGUGAGACCUUGUCUCAAGAAAAUUUUUAAAAAGGCAGUAUCUUCUGAUAUUAAGGAAGAUGGGUAUUUCUAGUGGAAUUUCAAUAAAAAUUUUUCUAUAAAUAGGGUAUAGGACUAAAAAAUGAGUAUCCUGAUUUUUUACUACUUCUUUGAAUCUUGGCAUCUUUUUCAAUUAUGUUUCUCAUCUAUGAUAGAUAUUAAAACCAAUAAUUAAGAUAAAUUGAAUGUAAACCCAUACCUCCUCAGCAGAUCUGUAGAACUUAUGUAAAAAAAUAAAAAUACAAAAUAAAUAAAA
ensembl:lncRNA novel transcript